CCUGAGAAACCCGAAAGAUCGAAUGGGGAGAUUCACCGUCAGCGACGUCGGCUUUUCGGCGGUUCGCGAUGCGCGCGCGCGCGGCGUCCAUUCGGGCGUCCGCGCGCGUCGCACGCGUCCGUCGUGCCCACGGCGAGCGAUCGCCCAUGUCCGGCGGCGUCGGCGUGCACUUCUCCCCUAGUAGGACGUCGCGACCCGCUGGGUGUCGGUCUACGGCCCGGUGCGUCGCCUGUUCCGGUCGCUUCGCGGCGUCGCGGAGCAGACGCCCGGUGUAGCCCGACCGGCUGCCCGGCGGUACUCGCACGGUAUACGGCCGCAAUCGAACUGCGUCAACUCAAUGCAGGCCCGCCGCAAGCGCGGUCAGUAUUCCUCUCUCUCGCUCGCUCGCGAGUCUGAGAGAGGGGAGGACCCGGAGGCGCGGACCCAGUGCCGUCCCCGGGGCUGGCUCGCUGUUCGCAGGCGGUGUCCUCUGACAGGCCGCGCGCCGCGUCUUCCGUCGUCGUUCCGUUCUCUCUUUCGGGGGGGUGCGGGCGGCGGCGGACAGCACGCGUGCGUUCAUUGAUACCGGUCGGCGAGCUACUGCUUUGGGUACUUUCAGG
rnacentral:rRNA from 1 species